AGUGAACGCUGGCGGUAGGCCUAACACAUGCAAGUCGAACGGCAGCACAGUAAGAGCUUGCUCUUACGGGUGGCGAGUGGCGGACGAGUGAGGAAUACAUCGGAAUCUACUUUUUCGUGGGGGAUAACGUAGGGAAACUUACGCUAAUACCGCAUACGACAUACGGGUGAAAGCAGGGGAUCUUCGGACCUUGCGCGAUUGAAUGAGCCGAUGUCGGAUUAGCUAGUUGGCGGGGUAAAGGCCCACCACGGCGACGAUCCGUAGCUGGUCUGAGAGGAUGGUCAGCCACACUGGAACUGAGACACGGUCCAGACUCCUACGGGAGGCAGCAGUGGGGAAUAUUGGACAAUGGGCGCAAGCCUGAUCCAGCCAUACCGCGUGGGUGAAGAAGGCCUUCGGGUUGUAAAGCCCUUUUGUUGGGAAAGAAAAGCAGCAGGUUAAUACCCCGCUGUUCUGACGGUACCCAAAGAAUAAGCACCGGCUAACUUCGUG
rnacentral:rRNA from 1 species